CGUAGCCAACAAGAUCCUCCUGAGGCGUCUGCUCGGAGAGAAAAGGACACAGCAAACGACCUCCCACCUCGUGGAGGCUCUGGCUUGCCACCUCCUCCACAUCCCAUGGAUCCGCCUCGCGAGGUUCAGGUGAUCCCCUUUGGGGACCAACCACUCGCCGAUCCACUGCUCCCUGCUCCUCGAAUGGUUCAAAUAACCGAGGAUGCGCUUCAACGCAUGAUAGCAGAAGCUUCAACUCGCGCUGCCAUAGAGGCCGU
rnacentral:lncRNA from 1 species